rnacentral:lncRNA from 1 species
CGGCUGCUGUUGCUACGGCAGCUGCAUGGGAGGCGGCAAGGGUGGGCUGUUCGUCUAGGAGUUGCUCUGCUUGCAUCCACCACGCGCGCGGAAUGCCUAGCUGGAGGGCUUUCAUGGCUUGCUCAGUUGCAGCCACAAUGCCGAGAGGGUGGCCCAACAUGAAGGCGCUCACUCGAGCGUGGGGCAUGCUUGGAGGGGGGAGGACAUGGUCAACCAACCCUCUGCUGCCCCUGGGGCGGUCAGAGUUGCGCCAAUCCUGCAGCCUCCGGGACAGGGAGACGGCAUCUAUCACUGUGGAG